rnacentral:rRNA from 1 species
AUUGACGCUGGCGGCAGGCCUAACACAUGCAAGUCGAACGAGUGGCGGCCGGGUUAGUGACACGUGGGAACCUAGCCAUCUGCGGGGGCUAACCCUUGGAUACAGGUGCUAAUACCGCAUACUGAUGGAUGGACCCGCGGUGCAUUAGCUAGGUGGUGGGGUAACGGCUCACCAAGGCCAAGAUGCAUAGCGGGCUGGAGAGGUUGACCGGCCACACGGGGACUGAGACACGGCCCAGACUCCUACGGGAGGCAGCAGUGGGGAAUAUUGCACAAUGGGCGCAAGCCUGAUGCAGCCAUGCCGCGUGUAUGAAGAAGGCCCUAGGGUUGUAAAGUACUUUCAGUCGGGAGGCGUUACCGACAGAAGAAGCACCGGCUAACUCCGUGCCAGCAGCCGCGGUAAUUC